CCCUUAGAUGUCCGGGGCUGCACGCGCGCUACACUGUAGAAAGCAGCGUGCUUUAAAACCUUUCCUGAAAAGGAUGGGUAACCCCAGCAAAAUUCUACGUGCUUGGGAUAGAGAUUUGCAAUUUUCUCUCUUGAACGAGGAUUGCCUUGUAAGCGCAUGUCAUCAGCAUGCAUUGAAUACGACCCUGUAUUCUGUACACACCGCCCGUCGCUCCUACCGAUUGAAGUUUUCGGUGAGCUGGCAGGAGGAAUUUUUUGAAACUGGUUCGCUAGUGGAUUUUAGUUCCAAAUGCCAACGAAUCGAUGGCUUUAGAGGAAGGAGAAGUCGUAACA
rnacentral:rRNA from 1 species